rnacentral:rRNA from 1 species
UGAACGCUGACAGAAUGCUUAACACAUGCAAGUCGACUGGAAUUCACCUUCGGGUGAUAGUACGGUGGCGGACGGGUGAGUAACGCGUAAAGAACUUGCCCUCUAGACUGGGACAACUGUUGGAAACGACAGCUAAUACCGGAUAUUAUGGGAACCUCGCAUGGGGAACUUAUGAAAGCUAUAUGCGCUAGAGGAGAGCUUUGCGUGCCAUUAGGUAGUUGGUAGGGUAAUGGCCUACCAAGCCGACGAUGGCUAGCCGGCCUGAGAGGGUGAUCGGCCACAAGGGGACUGAGACACGGCCCUUACUCCUACGGGAGGCAGCAGUGGGGAAUAUUGGACAAUGGGCCACAAGCCUGAUCCAGCAAUUCUGUGUGCACGAUGAAGGUUUUCGGAUCGUAAAGUGCUUUCAGCAGGGAAGAAAAAAAUGACGGUACCUGCAGAAGAAGCGACGGCUAAAUAC